ACCAGAGUGAGUGUCUCCCUGACGGGAAUUAGAGCUGGAUCACGACGUGACCCCCAUAUAUGAUCCCAAAGGUCAGAGGUACCCUCGCGAUCUGAGCAUCCUAUUCUCUUUGCAUGAUCCUCGUUAAACAUAGAACUUUGCAUCUGUCAUGAAACCGCCUUUGGUGACCCAUUUUAUUUUCCCGGACUUGGAUGGACAUUGAUGUUUGUGAACACUGAUGUUCUGACUUUGAAGAAACAAAAUAUUUUAUUGUUCUAAGGUUGUACAUUAAGUUAACGGUUCCCUCGAUAUUUUCCUUUCAUCGUGCCUCUUCACCUUUUGGAUAAGCCAAAGUAGACUGCAGUUGCUUCUAGGCGUUUAGGUUUCUGUUUAAUAUGAGUUGAUUCUAACUGAUUAUGUACGUCAGCCUCAGUCGUCCGUCCACUUUGUAAAGCUGAGCUGACGUUUGCAACCUCUCUUUGAAUUUCAGCUCGGUUUCUUGUCAAAGAACAUAAACGGUUUCCUGUUUGCUUCCUGUUUACAUUUCCUUACACUAAUAUUGCUUGACUCCAAUUCCUUAUCUUUAUACCAAAUUUCUGAAGUCUAAUCAAAACAAGCAGCAUUUCUCAAACCAAAUAAGGACUGUCCUUUAAAUUGAAAAGAUGUAGGACAAGCCCCUUUAUUAGAGAGAUCACAGAGGGCCCUCAUUGCUCACCUUUUCAAAGAAGAAACCUCAAAGCAGCAGCCUUCACUGCAUUUGCUGUUAAGUGCAACAGUGGUCCUACCUGGUUUAUAUGAGGUUGCAUCUAAGGAUAAUUGAAAGAAAUGAUUAGGCUUUUUUUCAUAUUUUGUUUUAUGAAAAUCAACAUAGUAAUUGUUUUCAAAGGGUAACAAGCUCGAAAAAAAUUGCAUGUGUGAUGUUCUUUAUCUGCUCGGUUGUCUUUGGUUAAUUAAAUCUUUGCUCGCAACGAUUUCUCUGUCACACAGCUUUAAGUGUCUGUUGUUUUUCUUUUAUUUUUGCUGUUUUAGUAUGUAUUUGUCUAUUAUUCGCUCCAUUUUUGCUUGUCGGAUAUUUGUUUUUUUUAUUUUUAAGUAUGUUAAGUAACUUAUUUCGCUUGUACAAACAUGUUGAUAUUUAUUAUCAUUGUACAUAUGUCCU
ensembl:lncRNA